rnacentral:rRNA from 1 species
UACGGAGGGUGCGAGCGUUGUUCGGAAUCACUGGGCGUAAAGGGCGUGUAGGCGGUCCGCUAAGUCUGAUGUGAAAGCCCGGGGCUCACCCCCGGAAGUGCAUUGGAAACUGGCGGACUCGAGUCCCGGAGAGGAGAGUGGAAUUCCUGGUGUAGCGGUGAAAUGCGUAGAUAUCAGGAGGAACACCGGUGGCGAAGGCGGCUCGCUGGAACGGUACUGACGCUGAGGCGCGAAAGCGUGGGGAGCAAACAGG